AACGAGUUCUGAUUAUUGAAAGGUGCUUGCAUCUUGAUUUAAUUUUGAACGAGUGGCGGACGGGUGAGUAACACGUGGGUAACCUGCCCUUAAGUGGGGGAUAACAUUUGGAAACAGAUGCUAAUACCGCAUAAAUCCAAGAACCGCAUGGUUCUUGGCUGAAAGAUGGCGCAAGCUAUCGCUUUUGGAUGGACCCGCGGCGUAUUAGCUAGUUGGUGAGGUAACGGCUCACCAAGGCAAUGAUACGUAGCCGAACUGAGAGGUUGAUCGGCCACAUUGGGACUGAGACACGGCCCAAACUCCUACGGGAGGCAGCAGUAGGGAAUCUUCCACAAUGGACGCAAGUCUGAUGGAGCAACGCCGCGUGAGUGAAGAAGGCUUUCGGGUCGUAAAACUCUGUUGUUGGAGAAGAAUGGUCGGCAGAGUAACUGUUGUCGACGUGACGGUAUCCAACCAGAAAGCCACGGCUAACUACGUGCCAGCAGCCGCGGUAAUACGUAGGUGGCAAGCGUUAUCCGGAUUUAUUGGGCGUAAAGCGAGCGCAGGCGGUUUUUUAAGUCUGAUGUGAAAGCCCUCGGCUUAACCGAGGAAGUGCAUCGGAAACUGGGAAACUUGAGUGCAGAAGAGGACAGUGGAACUCCAUGUGUAGCGGUGAUAUGCGUAGAUAUAUGGAAGUACACCAGUGGCGAAGGCGGCUG
rnacentral:rRNA from 1 species